UACGUAGGGGGCGAGCGUUGUCCGGAAUUACUGGGCGUAAAGGGAGCGUAGGCGGUCGAUUAAGUUGGAUGUGAAAUACCCGGGCUUAACUUGGGGGGUGCAUCCAAUACUGGUUGACUAGAGUACAGGAGAGGAAAGCGGAAUUCCUAGUGUAGCGGUGAAAUGCAUAGAUAUUAGGAGGAACAUCGGUGGCGAAGGCGGCUUUCUGGACUGACACUGACGCUGAGGCUCGAAAGCGUGGGGAGCAAACAGGAUUAGAUACCCUGGUAGUCCACGCUGUAAACGAUGAAUACUAGGUGUAGGGGGUGUAAACUCCCCCUGUGCCGCAGCUAACGCAAUAAGUAUUCCGCCUGGGGAGUACGGCCGCAAGGUUGAA
rnacentral:rRNA from 1 species